rnacentral:rRNA from 1 species
AUUGAACGCUGGCGGCAGGCCUAACACAUGCAAGUCGAACGAGUGGCGGACGGGUGAGUAAUGUCUGGGCAACUGCAUGCUGGAGGGGGAUCACUACUGGAAACGGUAGCUAAUACCGCAUACCAUCGGAUGUGCCCAAAUGGGAUUGGCUAGUGGGGGGGGUAACGGCUCACCUAGGCGACGAUCCCUAGCUGGUUUGAGAGGAUGACCAGACACACUGGAACGGAGAAACGGCCCAGACUCCUACGGGAGGCAGCAGGGGGGAAUAUUGCACAAUGGGCGAAAGCCUGAUGCAGCCAUGCCGCGUGUAUGAAGAAGGCCUUCGGGUUGUAAAGUACUUUCAGCGGGGAGGCGUUACCCGCAGAAGAAGCACCGGCUAACUCCGUGCCAGCAGCCGCGGUAAUAC